CCAACACACACACUCAGCUUUUCAGGUCUCAGAAAGUAUUUUGCUUUUUUAUAAUUUCAGUUUGUGUUUUUUACUUUUUUUUUUUUUUUUUUUUUUUUUUUUUUUUGUGGCGGGGAAAAAAGAAGAAGUGUAAUUUGGGUUUAGGGUUAAGAAGGGAUGGUAUUUGAUUACAUAUAUGUAGAGUUGAGUUUCCUUGUAAGUUGGUGUGUGGCUCUAUCUUGUACGGGUCUACUGGUUGCAUAAAGUGGAGAAAAAGCAUUUUGGCUAGAGGUGGCUGUGUCUCUAACUAGUUGUUUCUUUGUUUGGGGACCCUUUUAAUCUAUCAAAAGACCCUCUGCAUCUUUCCUUAUCCUCUCUUGUGGAUGAUCGAUAAGAGCAUUUCCAGCAGACUAGUUAAUUUGUUUUCGAGUAAAAAACCGAUCAAUCUUUUAUUUCACCUCGCAACAUUUAUUAGCUAAACUCCAUUUUUAUUAAGAAGCCUGUCUAUCUUUUGCUCGGGUUAAGAGCAUUUCUAGCAAACUAACUAAACUUCCUUUUGAGUUAGGAAUCAAUCGAUCUUUGGCUCAAGUUAAGAAUAUUUUUAACAAACUAGUUAAACUCUCUUUUGAGUCAGGAAUCGAUCGAUCUUUGACUCAUGUCAAGAGUAUUUUUAACACACUAGCUAAACUCUCUUUUGAGUGAGAAAUCAAUCGAUCUUUGACUCAUGUCAAGAGUAUAUCUAACAAACUAGUUAAAAUUCAUUAUAAAUAAACAAUCAUUCACUCUGAAAGUUUACUCAGAACGUCUCCAUAAAACUAACUAAACUUACUUGGAAGUCAAAACACUCCUUCCAUAAACUAGCUGUCAAUGGACUUAAAAUAACUGAAAUUAGUUAAAUCAAAUUUAUGAAAUUAAAUUAAAGGUACACAGAGUGUGUCAUCAAAUAGGAAUACCACCAUAUUUCGUUUCAUUACUUUUUUUUUUCUUUCUAUUUUUGGUGGUUAACAAUUAAGAAGAUUGUGGCAAGUAAAAGUGCAUUCGAAUAUAAAGUUGAGAAAUGUCAAGGGAACUAUUUUAAAAGUAAGAUUCUUUAUGAACUUUCUAUCAUCUCAUGUUUAAAACAUAAGGUUUUACAAUAUUAACACAUAAUUAACAUUAAACUGUAAAAUGUCAUAUAGUCCGUAAAGAGCCAUAUUUUUAAGAGUUCUGUUAGCAUUCCUCGUAUAAGGUUUGCAUGUCUUAAUCCAUCAGUUUUGACAUUGCACGCCAAAGCCCACGAAUUAUCUUCAUGGGAAGAAGCGAGGAUAAUAGUGUUGAUCACAUGGAUCCUAAAUUGUCCACUCCUAAGCCAUACCACAUAUUUGGCACGUCCAAACGCUUGCAUGUCAAUUGUUAGGUGGGAUUAGACGCCAAUCACAACUUAGAGGAAGACUACAAUCCUAGCUAUGCCAUAUGCCGUGCUAUUUCAUUUUGGACUUGUAUAUUUGUGUCCAUGGAACAACAUUAUACACUCCACUCUCGUGUCUUCAGACUACCAUAAUAUUUCUUCGCAAUAAUUCUAUUUGGACAUCCGAUCACGUUUAAUAAUGGUUAGCUAUAUUAUUGUAGAUAAGAGCUACGCAUGUUAUUUUCUUGUGGUUAAAUAGUACUACUCUUGUUAAACGACAAUGAAGAUCGGACAAUACUUUCCUCUUUCCCAGUAAGGAGGUAAGAUCUCCUUCCUCCUAACACGAUAUCAUUUCAUUACUGAUGUCAUAACCAGAACGGUUUAUUAUCUCUAUUAUACUUUAAAGAUCAUUUCCAGAAAAAUUCAUUUAAUUUGAAGAUUGUUUACUCAUUCAUCUUAAUCAAAGAAAUUGAAUUCAGAUUCUUUGCUACUGUCAAAACAGGACUAGUAUUUUAGGAUUUUUUGAUAUUUUAUUAUUUGUUUAAUUCCUUUCCAAUUUCAAUUCUUAAGGUUUCCAGGGUUAAGUUACAUAAUAAAUAUGUCAUAUUGGCCUUAGGUUUGUAUUCAUUCAUAAUAUUAUCAAUUAGAAUUAGAGAUAUCUCUAUUUUCUGGUGGAUUCUGGAUUGUUAAUAGACUUCAGUUUAUUCGCUAGUAAAUUAUAGCAUGAAAUUUUGUAACAUCCCACAUCACACAUGGAAGUGGAUCUUGUAAGCCUUAUAUGUAUAUUCUCAUAUCUACCUAGCACGAGGUCUUUUGGGAGCUCACUGGCUUCGGGUUCCAUCGGAACUCCAAAGUUAAGCGAGUUCGCGCGAGAGCAAUCCUUGGAUUUGUGACCCACUGAGAAGUUCUCAUAUGAGUUCCCAGAAACAAAACUGUGAGGGUGUGGUCGAGGCCCAAAGCGGACAAUAUCGUGAUACGGUGGAGUCGAGCCCGGGAUAUGGUGUGGUCCGUGCCAGGAUGUGACAAAUUUCGUUCAAUUUCUCUUGUUAUAUAUCUAGUUGCGUCAGUUCAACACGAGGAUGCUACUUAUUAAAUCGAUUUGUUUUACACAUAUGAAUGGUCAUAUGAACUCUAAUUCAAAUUAAUUUGUAAGGAAUGAGUAUUAGAAGAUGGUAAAGGAAAUCAACAAUUUCAAUGAUGAUGUUUACACGAUAAAGCGAUGACGCGAUAGAAAAAUGAGGAAAGUAUUGUUCGUGAAAAUAUUAUGCACACACAUAUGGAAGUUGUUAAUCCUAUAUUAUAUUAUUUGUAACACAAACGAAUUGAACUACACUUUCAUACUUGCGAAGAUUAGUUGGAGAAAUAUUGUUGAGGUUAUCAAAAGAAGUGCUUUGAGGCUUUUGGAAUAUACUGGCAUUGAGUUUUACCUUUCUGCUGUUUACGCCUAGCUAAAAGUAGAAAAGCACUCUCUCUUUUUCUUUCUACGAUGCUAACCAAACGCUGUCUUAUUAUUCUCUCUUAAAAAAUAAGGAGAAAUGCUUAGGAAACUUUUUUAGAGCAAGAUUCUUUGUGGAUUCUCUGACUUUAACAUCAAUUUCAUAUCAAUAUUAUAAAACAUAAUACUAAAAACAUAGGGGGUGUAGAUUCAAUAAAGAGUCUAGAGUCUCUUUACCAUUUCUCAAAGAAAUGGUUUUCAUGCCAGACAGGUAGUAUAGUAAAGUUUUGAUGAUACAGAGAACAUUUUAAUCCAUGGGAUAAUAUUGUUUAAAAUAGUUCAUUAUGUGAAUACCUUUAAAGGUAACAGAUUAAUUUAUGUUAAAUACUGACGUUCUAACAUAUGAUUGGCUUUGAAAUUAACUUGGGAGAUGAAAUCAAAUUAAUUAAAUAAAUAAUAUAAUGGAAAAUUAAACCCUGGAAGUGAUGAAAUCUCAGAAGCAUGCUUUGAAGUUAAUGAUGAGGACCAUGGGGGCUUGGGGUUCACAAAGGAAUGAAAGCAAAGGGGGACAGAGAUCGACGUGAUAAUCUCACAACUCUCUUUGAAAUCCAAAACUCCAAACACCAUGCCUUCACUGCACGCACUGCAAUGGAGAUUUUUUGUUUUCUAAGUGCAAGAAGCUCUUGUAUUUACCAUCAGUUUUAACUCUUUCUCCAUGCAUUUGCUUUCGCCUUAUCUCUCACAAGAAGCAAACAACAACCCCCCAUUUUUCUUGAACUUGAAUCACAUAAAUUUCUUAAAUUCAUCAUUUCUUCACUCCCCAAAUUGCGUUCUCUAUUCGAUAAAUUAGCAAUUGGUGUCACAAAGACAAAAAAUGGAUUAAUCCUAAAUAUCGAAACUAGCUUCGGACAAGCUCACGAAGAAAAAAAUAGCUGACUUCUAUUAGUCAAGUUAACUGGAGCAGUAUUCUUUCUCUUUGUAUCUAAAUUCGAAUUUCCUACAAAUAAUUUGGGGUAAGUUAUAAUUUUGUGUUUGUCAAGAGAGAAUAAAAAUAAUAGAGAAACGAAAGAAUUGGUUUUCUCCUUUGGCAUGGUGUUUUUGUUGUUCUAUUCGACUAUUUUUCGUUUUAUAGAUGAUUUUGAUGUAAUGUUGAAGUUUACCAAAAUUUAUUUAUUUUUAUUAAAAAAAUGAAAGAAUUGACCAAACUCUGUAUUUUUGGGCAGAUUGAGUAAUGUUUUUGGCUUCCUAUGCAAAUCUCGUCUUGGUUCCAAAUCUUUGUGUGAUCAAACCAAGAAAUAUAUGAGAUUGGAAGUACCACUCAGCGUAGAGGGACAACGGAGUUUGUGAAAGAUCAUGCAUGUUUCUCUCCUUUUGAGUCAUGGACCUUUUUUUCUUCUUUUCAUCAAAGAAAUAAUGAGUAGUCAUGGAUAAAGCUGUUUGAUAACCAUUUUGUUUUCAGUUUUCAUUUUUUUGAAGAGGAUUAGUAAUGCUAUGAAUACUAAAUUUGUAGGUAAAAUUUUAUAAACUAAAUGAUAUGGAAGUUAAUGAUUGGAUUAUGACUUAAUUGUUGAUGAACGUGACUAUAAUAGGACACAUCCUUUGAUUUGCAAAUUUUGUCUUCCUAACGUUACUGUUUUAAAAAAAUGAAAACGGCGUACUUUCUUUAGAUUCAAAAUUUUAGCCUUUGAGUUUUCACUUUUCACUUUUUUGAAAACUGAAAGUAGUUAACAAACUAGAUGUUAAAUACUUUUAGUUUUCAAAAAAGUGAAAAUGAAAUGGUUAUCAAACGGCACCUAAAUUAAUUUUUUUUCACAAGCCACAUAAGAAUUAGAUUAGUUGGUCAAAUAGUAUGCUGUUUUGUUAAUCCAAAGUUUGAAUCAGCUUCCUUGUAGAUAAAAGUAGAAUAUCCCUUCGUCAAAACGAUCUUUUUUCACAAGAGUAAAUCAAGGAAUAGAUUAAGGAGACUGGUUUAGAAUUCGCCAUCCAAAUGGUGAAUGAAAUAAUGAGGUAAACAGUCAUCAAAACAUGAAUAGUGAAUAAACGUUAAUGCAGAUGACAUACUGAUUAGUAAGCAGAAAGAGCGGUCUGAUUAGGAUGGCGCAUGUUAAUUAGUUGGAAACUUGGGAAAGAUGGCAGACAGAAGCACAAGGCUAAAGCCUUAAUUAAGUGCAUAAACAAAUGUGAUUAAGUGCAAUGUUUGAAUUGGAGUCCUCGUGAGAGUUUAAGAAAACCUUUUUUGUGAGUGAAAGGCAAUAUUUAAGAGAUAAAGUCUGAUAAUAAAGCUCCUUUGGUGCAAGGCUGCAAUGCCAAAGAAGAAAAUAUUUAAAGUAAAUUGGUAUGGAUCCUUAUCGAUGGUGGACACUUCCAUUUUACCAAAGAGAAGAAAGAUGGUGGAUACAUUUCUAAUUAAGUGGCUUUAAUUUGUUGGAAAUUGGGACAUAUAUGUCAUGUGGAUUCACGUUGAACUUGUGGACGGCAAAAUUUGACUUUGGCUUAAGCUUUUAGGGUACUUAUAGGGAGACUAGGGAGAUUAAUUUAGGUAAAUGCAUACGUCGCUCAUCAUUACAUAAAAAUAAUUUUAUUUUAAUGGAUGAAAAAGCCUUAAAACACAGGCAUGUGUUUCACAAAAAGUCUCUGAAAAAAAAGCCAUUUGUCCAUCAAUUAUUUGCAAAAAAGAAACAAUUUUACAAAAUUGAAAGGGUAUGAAAUUAGUUUUUUCAGUGAUAGAUUACAUAUAUAUGUGUUUGGUAUUUGUAUAAAUUAAAGCCUCAUAAUUAGGGAAAGCAGGCAUAUAUCUCUUAUCUUUUGGACUAGUGGAUAAACAAAUCAACUAACACAGUGUUUUGCACUUUAAUUAGGGUUUGUCUAGGGCACCUACUAUUGCGUGAUCGCACCAUUAAGUGGAAAAAAAAUUCAUUGUGGAGGAACAUAGCCUAAUAUACUAAGUAUCACAAUACAAAUGAUUGGAGUUGUUUUUAUUCGAGUAUCAAAUUAUUUGUAUUAUAAUAUUUAAAUAUAUUAAAUUAUGUUCUCAGCACAUUAAAAAUCUCUCUAUCAAGCAGGGUUUGAUAAGUAGUUAACUAAAAACCUGUAGAAUAGAGGAUGCUUCGCUGGUACAUAUCCAUUGGGCCACAAAACUGAAGAUUGGUCCAUGUGUUUAGCCACCCAAAGGCCUCUGUGUAGAGGCUCGAGGCAAAGCGGCAAACCAACCUUGGAACCCAUUUUUCACCAAGGAAAUGAUUUAUGCACUAUCGUUUCUUUUCUUUGCAUUUUUUCUUUUGUUUUUGUCCUUCAAGUGUCUUUUGAUAUAUUCAAUCUAACAAUUUUUGAACAAACUGAAUCUAACAGUUAUAAUAAGAAAAGGGUGACGUGCGAGAAAAAGAAGGUGCAUAAACCGUUUUCAUUUCCAUUUACGUAUCUAUUUAGGAAUUAAUUAUUAAACCCUAAACUCUAACUCAUGAUUAUGUCUUGCAGUAGGGAGGACCUCUGCUCGUAUAUAUUUCCAGAUCUGUUCCUCACCCUGAUAAUACGAUUAUAAUAGCCACACUUAUACAAGAGGCCAUCACAUUCAUACCAAAUAAACACGAAAACAUGCACGCAUGCAAUUCAUCACUUUGCAAUAACCAUUCCCAAAAAAAACAGAAACAGUAACUCUCUAACCCUGCUUAAUUAAAAACCCUGCUAGACAAACGUACACAAUGUAGAAACUCAGAUAGUUUAAUGGGACAUCAACAUGGCAUAACUUGCAGGUAUACUGUCACUAGUACGUAAUGGCCAAUGCCAUAAUUCCGUAAAAUUCAUCCCUCGAAAUCUUCAGGGUGGCCUUUCGGUCCUUCUGUCUUAUUUCUAGGUUUCACCUAUAUAUAACCAAAUUCAGAAUUAAACCAGAGCUAGUACUGUCGAUUAAUUAUUGACUCUCUUAUUUCUACGUUCACCUUUUGUUUAAUUACUUUUAAAUAUUUGUUGGUCAAAUUGGAUUAAAAUUGAUCGAAUUAUACCAGAAGUGUGGUGGGUGCAAGUUCAACUGGAUGGGAUGCUGUUAGCUCCUUGAGUUGCAGCUGCAUCUUACUCAUGAAAUCCAUCGACUUUUCCUAAGUUUCCUCCGUUGCUUCUUUCAGUUUCACAUGUGCCGAGCAAUAUACUUCCUGGAGAGGCAUAUUAAUCCUAUCUCGUAGUUAUGCUGCUUUAGCUAUGGCGGUGGUCUCCUGUGGUAAACGGCGGCGGUUCCUCAUGGCACGUAUGAGGGUUAGGGUUUGUCCUUAUGCUGUUUGGUUGGACCAUUAAUGAAGCAUUUCAUUUCCUUUUCCGACCAAAGAUAUGAAAAGAUAUGUCUGCAAUUAUUUUGUUCAUUGCUAUACAUGCAGUGUGUAGCCAUUAAUUAAUUAAUUAUUACGUACGUACCUGAGCAUGCAUGCGAUGAGGUGCUCAGCAAUGAGAGCGAUGUAACGUAGAAAUGCAUAUGUGUGUGUGUGUGUGUGUGUGUGUGUAUGAGCUCCAUUUCUACACGCUUAAAGCUUCAAUGAUAGUACGUACAAAAUACAGGUGUGGUGGCCGGCUGAGGAAACAUAGAAAGCAUUUAAGACAAGAAGCGUAUCCAAAUGGAGAUGGAGAUAGCUAGGGUAGGCGUAGGCUUACUCUGAAUCUCUCUGAUUGCUUCAUCAAGUACGGAGGACGAAUAUAUGACAAAAACAGUUCCUGGGAGGCUGGGACGUCGUCUCUGGAGGAGUCAAGUGUGGAUCUAAUUUAUUCAGAUUCUGAUCACCCUGCAACUGCAAACACAGUUACUUACAGAGUCGUCUAUAUCUACACACACACACACACACACACACACACUCUUCUAUAUAGCUAGGCAACAGGGCAGGGGCCUGAAAUGCAAGGGAAGUAUUUGAAGCCAGCCCAGCAAAGCAUUGGGUUGGAUUUCAAGAAAUUGGCUUACGGUGGAACUUUUAUUUUUUACUUUGACAUUCUCUAUUGAAGAAAGCUAAAGUUCUGCCCAAAAUUAAUGAACAAGUAACGAACGGAGUAACCUAACUUUAGCUAUAUAAGUUCAUGCAAGGAUUUCGUUUAUCAAAAUAAUUUUACGUUAUAGACCAUAGACGUUCAUGAUUCCCCUCUAUACCCUGCUGUAAUGAUUCCUCUAGCAUUAUGAUUUUCACCACAAUAAUGGAUAGAAUUUUUUUAUAAAUAUGCAUGCUAUUUAGUAUUUUGAUUUAAGCUCAUAUCACUAUGAGAGUUUUCUGGUUCGACAAUAACGUGUUAGAUAAUCAAUAUCGAUUGUAUCGAAAAAGGUGAAAUGGUAGUCCAGUUGAAGCGUAAUGAAUAUACAUAUGUAAUCGUUGUGUCUUAUAUUCGUUCUGAUUCUCUUCUACCCUUAAUUUCUCGGGAGUUCCUGUUCAUAGCUAAUUAGCAUAAACAUAAAGGAGCAAUAUAUAUAACAUUUCCUGGGCAGGCAUGAAGGAGGAAUUAACUGAUGAAGCAUUGUUACAAAGUAGAUGCAAAUGUACAACCACGUUUAUUAUAAUCCAUUGUAUAUAACUUUUCCUGCAAAUUAAUGGGUACAUAAAUAAUACAAAGCAAGAAUCUAAGACAUGAAGAGCUUGCGACUUGACAUCAUACCCAGCAAGACAGAGAUGAAGUUAAAAAUCGUUCAAUCCUAAUUUAAGUACAUACAAUGGGAGUUUGUUAUACAUAUCUUAUCAACAGGAUUUUUCGGAGUAUUCUAUACUCCGGAGCACCAUGGAAAUUUAGAUCGUCAACAAACCAUCCCAACUUAUG
rnacentral:lncRNA from 1 species